CAAGGGGUAGGGAGCCGGAGAGUUCAGAGGGACAUGAAAUUUGACCACAGUGGCUGUGUUGUGCCCUCCUUCCCCCAUCUCAAGGGACGUGGCCCUUCUGGAGCACAGACUGUGACAUCUCCUCGGGGAAUGAGCUCCCUGAAUUUAUGGCCAGCUGCUCAGAGGAGCGUUCCCCUUGAUCUGCUCCGUACCCAUCCGAUGUGCGCGUUAAAGGAAUCCCCUGGUGUUCGGUGCUUUGGGAUCUGGUGAACGACUCUUCAUCCUGCCCUUCCAACCCUCACGGCAGCAUACACUUUAAUUUCAAAGUCAAAAGACCCUGAGGGUGAAGCUGAAAAUACCCCCUCAAGCAAUAAUGACUACCCCAAGGCAGCAAGACCCCAAGGCAAUGAUCCACCUGACCUUUAUUGCCCACCUACGGAACCCACGGACCUUUGCCCCGUACUUGCCUUAUAUAAACCUGGAGGUCUUUUCAGCACUUUGGAGACGGUCUUUGAGAUGUUGGUCCUCUGUCUUGCUGAUGUCAGCCCCACUGAGAGCGGCUGCACCUGCUCAACUUGGGACCCCU